AACAAACGGGUUUUACUAUAUAAAGUGAUUAAACCCCAGUUUAUAUUUAUUACAUGCAAAGGUGAAAAAAAAAAUGGCUCAAACUCUCAAAUUUGCUUAUAUUGUUAUCCUUUUUGUUUCUAUUUUUAUCGUUGUAGUCUUUGGUUCAAAAUAUAAGUGUGAUACCGAUGAAGAUUGCUAUAAAUUUUUCCCAAAUGCUAUUCCUGGAACACUGAAGUGCGUGAAAAGUGUUUGUGUAAGCCCGAUAGAAUUAAAGCCCAAAGUUUAGGAUGAGACCGAGUAGUAGUAUAGAGGAGUUUGUUCAUGAGAAUAAAGUGGAGCAAUAGGGUGUUCUAUAGAGUUUGUUGGAUUAUUUUCUCAAAAAUAGUAGUGGGCUGCUAUCCCCCAUUCCCCACUAAUAUCUGUAAUUUUUUUUCUACGAAUAAAUUGUUUCUUCCUAAAUAUAGUUUAUGUUAGUUUUCUUUGAGCAUUGUACUCUUUUUUCCUUCACCUGAUUUCUCCUGUAUGAUUUAAAGAUAAUAAGGUUUUUAAUGAGGCAGUUGUCAUUUGUUUUAAGUCCAACUUGGUUGUCCUCCAAAUUUUGUAUUCUCGAUUUUAAUUUUAUGUUAUUGUGAGUUAGCUUGAUUUUUAAGUUGA